rnacentral:rRNA from 1 species
CCUACGGGAGGCAGCAGUGAGGAAUAUUGGUCAAUGGUCGGGAGACUGAACCAGCCAAGCCGCGUGAGGGAGGAAGGUACAGAGUAUCGUAAACCUCUUUUGCCAGGGAACAAAGGCGGGGACGUGACCCCGGGUGAGUGUACCUGACGAAAAAGCAUCGGCUAACUCCGUGCCAGCAGCCGCGGUAAUACGGGGGAUGCGAGUGUUAUCCGGAUUUAUGGGGGUAAAGGGGUGCGCAGGCGGUCUGUUAAGUCAGCGGACAAACCCCGGGGCUCAACCCCGGCCCGCCGUUGAAACUGGCAGUCUCGAGUUGGAGAGAAGUAUGCGGAAUGCGCGGUGUAGCGGUGAAAUGCAUAGAUAUCGCGCAGAACUCCGAUUGCGAAGGCAGCAUGCCGGCUCCACACUGACGCUGAGGCACGAAAGCGUGGGUAUCGAACAGGAUUAGAUACCCGUGUAGUC